AUAUUUUGCUGUUGAUUUUAUUGUUUCUAUCAUUAAAUUCUGGCUAUGUUUUGUAUAUUUAUUCAAAAUAAGUAUUGAUUUAUGUAUCAUUUCAUUGGUUGGAACGGCUAUUGAAUUUAUUUGGAAUAAUUUUAAUGAAUUUUUUGGUAUUGGAUUUUUCGGUUAUAUCCAAUUGAUUCAAUGUAUAAUCAAUCGAUUGAUUUUUUUCAUUGGUCUUUAUGUUUAUGGUCAUGGUAAUAUAUUGAUGGCUACUAUUGUUAUUGCUUAUCUGAUGGCUAUUUAUGUAUUCUGUUGGCAAACCGGUCAAUUGCUUCUUCAUCGUGGCAAUCAUCAUCGAAAUAAUAAAUCAUCAAUAAAUCUGUGGCGUAUGUUGAAACGGUUUCAUAUGCGUCAUAUAAAAAAUCUAAAAAGAAUUCAAACGGGCAAUAUUUAUUCGCGUGCAUUACUUUUAUAUUUACUGCCCAAUAUUCCAUUCAAUUGUUAUCUAUUGAUAUUUGUUGUUUGUAUGAAAACAACAUGGAUAAUUCGAUUUAUAUCCUGUUCAGUUAUAACUAGUGAAAUUUAUGGUAUAUUUGGUGUACAUAUAUUGUUUGCAUUAGCUAAUCGCCAAUUUCAGAAAUCAAGCAUCAGAUUCAUGCACAUAUUGGCUGAUAAACAUCAACAUUUUAAUAGUCACAUUAUCUGGCUAAUCGAUUGAAGCUAGUCAAUUAUGGACAAAAUUUUCAUUCAAAAAAUAAAUACGGUUUCACAUAUGGAAAACUUCAAUUAAUCACUAUGAAUGAAUGUUUCAAGUAUUUUCUACUCUAUUCACAAUCAUUAAUGUUCAUCUAUGUUCAUGUUGUUUAUCGGCAAUAUCAUUCAUAUCAGAAUUAAAGUACAUGCAGAAAAAAAAUUGGUCAAAUUCAUCAUCAGUAAAUAUGACGAUAAAAUUUUAUUAUCAAAAUAUCUAUUUCGUUUCCAUUUCACUUAUUGGAUUUUGAACAAUUUAAAAAAAAAGUUUCAACUUUUU